UGGGAAAAAAACGCCCUCCGCUUUCCCUCGCCAUCGCACGCAGUCACGCAGUCCCUCUUUCCCCGAGUCCCGCGAGAGAAAAACCUGCCGCCGCCUCUCCCCUCCGCGGCUCCGCCCAGCCGUCAUACCUCCGCCGCGCAGCCCAUCCGCCGCCGUCCUCAUGCGCUGCCCCUACUACUCGCCGUCAUCGCACGCGCAAAGCCUCACAAAUCUCUGAUUCGCUUGCUCGCUUGCGAAGAUCCAUGGCGGCGGCUGGGAGUGGGGGCGUAGUUGGGGAGGAGUGCUGCUCCGCUGGUCGGAAGAUUCAGCAGGGCGAUGGAGGAGAGAUACGAGGUCCUUCUGCCUCUUUCCCCCGCUAUCUCAGGUGUCCCCUUGCCGUUCUUGGGGCCAGAGCCCGCAGAGCAACCUGUGCUCUUCGGCGCGACUUUGCCAAGCUUCUGGGGGCGGACUUCGAGUUUGUUUCAUUGCUUCGGCCAUUGACAAGCUCGACGAGUCUGAUUUCUUGGUCGAGCCUGACGAGGUGAUAAUGAAGCGGUGCCUGUUUGGGGAGGGCAUUAGAGGUUAGAGCAACCUAUGCCCGUCUCAGCAACUAUGCAAUGAGCCAGGCUGAUCUUUCCUUUGAACUACGAUUGCAAGUACAAAUAUUCACUUGUGGAGCUGCAACCUGCGUUCUUGGCGCUGGCAUGGGAGAAACGGCCUCUGCUCACGGUUUCUGCUUGGCGAUUCCAAAGAAGGCAGAAGAAAUGAAGUAAUCCUGUGAAGACAAGCAGAGAGUAGAGGCACAUCACACAUGCUGAUUCAUGGGGGGAUCAAUACCAGUUGGUGAGGAAGAAAUUACAAAGGCUAAAAAUUACAACCAACAGCAGGGGCCAGGUUCGCAUUACUACAUACACACAUGGCGCAUUGCCUUUCUCUCUCCACCGAUCAA